UCGUGAGUUCGAUGAGUAGGGCGGGACACGUGACAUCCUGUCUGAAUAUGGGGGGACCAUCCUCCAAGGCUAAAUACUCCUGACUGACCGAUAGUGAACCAGUACCGUGAGGGAAAGGCGAAAAGAACCCCGGCGAGGGGAGUGAAAUAGAACCUGAAACCGUGUACGUACAAGCAGUGGGAGCACCUUCGUGGUGUGACUGCGUACCUUUUGUAUAAUGGGUCAGCGACUUAUAUUUUGUAGCAAGGUUAACCGUAUAGGGGAGCCGUAGGGAAACCGAGUCUUAACUGGGCGAAUAGUUGCAAGGUAUAGACCCGAAACCCGGUGAUCUAGCCAUGGGCAGGUUGAAGGUUGGGUAACACUAACUGGAGGACCGAACCGACUAAUGUUGAAAAAUUAGCGGAUGACUUGUGGCUGGGGGUGAAAGGCCAAUCAAACCGGGAGAUAGCUGGUUCUCCCCGAAAGCUAUUUAGGUAGCGCCUCGUGAACUCAUCUUCGGGGGUAGAGCACUGUUUCGGCUAGGGGGCCAUCCCGGCUUACCAAACCGAUGCAAACUCCGAAUACCGAAGAAUGUUAUCACGGGAGACACACGGCGGGUGCUAACGUCCGUCGUGAAGAGGGAAACAACCCAGACCGCCAGCUAAGGUCCCAAAGUCAUGGUUAAGUGGGAAACGAUGUGGGAAGGCAUAGACAGCCAGGAUGUUGGCUUAGAAGCAGCCAUCAUUUAAAGAAAGCGUAAUAGCUCACUGGUCGAGUCGGCCUGCGCGGAAGAUGUAACGGGGCUAAACCAUGCACCGAAGCUGCGGCAGCGACGCUUAGGCGUUGUUGGGUAGGGGAGCGUUCUGUAAGCCGUUGAAGGUGGCCUGUGAGGGUUGCUGGAGGUAUCAGAAGUGCGAAUGCUGACAUAAGUAACGAUAAAGCGGGUGAAAAGCCCGCUCGCCGGAAGACCAAGGGUUCCUGUCCAACGUUAAUCGGGGCAGGGUGAGUCGACCCCUAAGGCGAGGCUGAAAAGCGUAGUCGAUGGGAAACAGGUUAAUAUUCCUGUACUUGGUGUUACUGCGAAGGGGGGACGGAGAAGGCUAGGCUAGCCGGGCGACGGUUGUCCCGGUUUAAGCGUGUAGGGGGUGUGACCUGGUAAAUCCGGUUGCAUAUUAACCCUGAGGCGUGAUGACGAUGCACUACGGUGCAGAAGUAGUUGAUGCCCUGCUUCCAGGAAAAUCCUCUAAGCUCCAGGUAACAUUAAAUCGUACCCCAAACCGACACAGGUGGUCAGGUAGAGAAUACCAAGGCGCUUGAGAGAACUCGGGUGAAGGAACUAGGCAAAAUGGUGCCGUAACUUCGGGAGAAGGCACGCUGGCAUGUAGGUGAAGUCCCUCGCGGAUGGAGCUGAAGCCAGUCGAAGAUACCAGCUGGCUGCAACUGUUUAAUAAAAACACAGCACUGUGCAAACACGAAAGUGGACGUAUACGGUGUGACGCCUGCCCGGUGCUGGAAGGUUAAUUGAUGGGGUCAGCCGCAAGGCGAAGCUCUUGAUCGAAGCCCCAGUAAACGGCGGCCGUAACUAUAACGGUCCUAAGGUAGCGAAAUUCCUUGUCGGGUAAGUUCCGACCUGCACGAAUGGCGUAAUGAUGGCCAGGCUGUCUCCACCCGAGACUCAGUGAAAUUGAACUCGCUGUGAAGAUGCAGUGUACCCGCGGCAAGACGGAAAGACCCCGUGAACCUUUACUAUAGCUUGACACUGAACAUUGAGCCUUGAUGUGUAGGAUAGGUGGGAGGCUUUGAAGCGUGGACGCCAGUCUGCGUGGAGCCAUCCUUGAAAUACCACCCUUUAAUGUUUGAUGUUCUAACUCGGCCCCAUAAUCUGGGGUGAGGACAGUGUCUGGUGGGUAGUUUGACUGGGGCGGUCUCCUCCCAAAGAGUAACGGAGGAGCACGAAGGUUAGCUAAUCACGGUCGGACAUCGUGAGGUUAGUGCAAAGGCAUAAGCUAGCUUGACUGCGAGAGUGACGGCUCGAGCAGGUACGAAAGUAGGUCUUAGUGAUCCGGUGGUUCUGAAUGGAAGGGCCAUCGCUCAACGGAUAAAAGGUACUCCGGGGAUAACAGGCUGAUACCGCCCAAGAGUUCAUAUCGACGGCGGUGUUUGGCACCUCGAUGUCGGCUCAUCACAUCCUGGGGCUGAAGUAGGUCCCAAGGGUAUGGCUGUUCGCCAUUUAAAGUGGUACGCGAGCUGGGUUUAGAACGUCGUGAGACAGUUCGGUCCCUAUCUGCCGUGGGCGUUGGAAGAUUGAGAGGGGUUGCUCCUAGUACGAGAGGACCGGAGUGAACGCACCACUGGUGUUCGGGUUGUCAUGCCAAUGGCAUUGCCCGGUAGCUAAGUGCGGAAAAGAUAAGCGCUGAAAGCAUCUAAGCGCGAAACUUGCCUCAAGAUGAGUCUUCCCUGGGCCUUUAAGGCCCCUGAAGGAACGUUUAAGACUAAGACGUUGA
rnacentral:rRNA from 1 species